rnacentral:lncRNA from 1 species
AUCAUUCACAGCAAGUAUUCAUCAGAAAAAUUGUGAACUAUUUCUUUUAGGGACCUGUAUUUCCCAUUGUACUACAAUGUAAAACCUUAACCCAUGGCUGGAUGGGGCAGAAAGAAGGUAAACAAUGGUUUCUUUGAAGAGUAAUCAAUGAUUUCUACUAGGAUUGAAGGUUGCAAGAUGAUAUAUUUAUAUACUGAUUACAGAUUGCCGAACGAUAAAGAUUGGGCCUAAGAGAGAAUCUAUUAGGAAAAGCAGGUGAAAUUUGCUGUUUUUCAGAGGAAAAAAGCUACCACAGUAAUCACAUCGAUGAAAAGCUCAUCUACACAACGGAGUAAGGUUUGCUUGAUGAAGAAGCCAUUUUGAAGACUGGCGUCCUGUGUUCCUCAGGUUUGUUCACCCACCCAAAGCUGGAUACCAAGGAACACGAUCACCUUAAAUAUAAGACCAGAGACAAAUAUCAAUCUUGGAAAGAAAGCAAAAUUGGGUGGACCCCCAAUAGAAUAAAAUGAAAAAUUGCGGUUCGAUCUGUCCGCCCUCCCCCACCACACCCUCACCCGCCUCUAUAAGACGGCACUUAGCAAUUAUCAACCUUGGAAGGAAACCAUACACGGUUUCCUGUUCACUAUCUACAACCACACCAGCCACUUUUAGAAAGUUUUCUUCGCUCUGAUACAAAAAAAUUUUAUUACAGUACAGUAUUACAAUACAAUCUUUUAAUCUAUAUUACAAUGGUAAUACAAUCUUUUUCUUACAAUCUUUUAAUACAGUAAUAUUACAAAUAAUUUUAGACAGUUGUUUUUCACCAUCCAACCUCCCCCACCGCACCCACCUCUUGCAGACAAUUUCCCUAAAUCUUUAAAAAGGUUGGCUACCUUGUGGUACGAACAUUUAUUUUCUAAGCAUGCGUUUCAUGUAACCAAAUGUCUGUCUUGACACACAUGCGUAUUACACGGUGUUAUUGACACGAGGUAAGCAGCUUUACAAAUACUAAAAUCUGCCUUUGAUCACAAGUUGUGGACGAAGGUGGAUCGACCUCCAAUUUUUGCUUCCUUUCUGAGGUGGUCGUUCUUCCUAACAUCUAAGGAAGGAAGAAAGAAGAACUAUGAGUGACCCACGAUGUAAUGAUAUGAUGCACAAUAUGUUCUCAUUUUGUACAACAACAAUUUUGUACAGUUGGACAUUCGUUGCAUUCAACAGUACCACAUUGCACCACAACAAAAAAGAACGAUGAAUAUGUUAGCAUUAAACAAUAAAGUAAACUCACCUCAAAAACAAGUUUCUGUUCAACUGUUAUUACCCCGGUUAUGUCAACAUGUGCCUCCCAUGACCUUUCUAAACUUGUAACCUUCGCGGUUCCUGUAAGGGGAAAAGGAAAGCGUUGUGCGUCUUGAAUUACCAUUUUUUCUUGGUUUCUGUGUUUCUUUUUUUCAUGAGGUGCACAACGGUUUAUCAUAUUGCACAUGUACAUUGAUAAAUCUCUCGAAAACAAUAACCAUGAUUUGUACUUUUUCAGAAUCCAAAAGACGAAAAUACGGGUGAAUAUAUUAAAUAUGGCUUGUAACACACAGGAAUAAACUGAGGAAUCGAUGAGGUAUUUCCAACAGUUUCCCAAGAAUGGUUGGAAAAUUCAGAACAGGAUUGAAAACCUGUGCUCACCAAACGUCUGCCGUAAUACAUAUACGUAUUAGAAGAUGCUGGCACCACAAGGCAGACAACUCUUACAAAUAAUAAUAAAAAAAAAUGCCCAUCACGCAAUCUUUUGUUGUGCUUACCUUACCAAGGAUGAAACUUGCCUUAGGUUGCUUCAUUGACGUGGUCAUUUUUCGUGUAAUCUGUGUGGAAACGAAGGACGAAAAUCUUAAAACAGCACUUAUUAUGGACUACAUAGCCACGCUAACAGACAAGUCUUCCAUCAGAGAAAAAGAUUUUGUGUUUAAUAACACUUUUCAAAUUGUGA